AGCAGCCGCGGUAAUUCCAGCUCCAAUAGCGUAUAUUAAAGUUGUUGCAGUUAAAAAGCUCGUAGUUGAAUUUCGGGAUCAAAGGAUCGGUCAUGCCUUGGUAUGUACUGGUUUUAUUGGUUCUCACCUUCUAAAGAACCAUAAUGUCAUUCAUUUGAUGUUAUGGGGAAUUAGGACUGUUACCUUGAAAAAAUUAGAGUGUUUAAAGCAGGCUUACGCUUGAAUACAUUAGCAUGGAAUAAUGAAAUAGGACAUCAGAUUCUAUUUUGUUGGUUUCUAGGAUCGAUGUAAUGAUUAAUAGGGAUAGUUGGGGGCAUUAGUAUUCAAUUGUCAGAGGUGAAAUUCUUGGAUUUAUUGAAGACUAACUACUGCGAAAGCAUUUGCCAAGGAUGUUUUCAUUAAUCAAGAACGAAAGUUAGGGGAUCGAAGACGAUCAGAUACCGUCGUAGUCUUAACCAUAAACUAUGCCGACUAGGGAUCGGAUGAUGUUAAUUUAUAAUGACUCAUUCGG
rnacentral:sRNA from 1 species